GACGAACGCUGGCGGCGCGCCUAACACAUGCAAGUCGAACGAGAGAGAAGGAGCUUGCUUCUUCGAUCGAGUGGCGAACGGGUGAGUAACGCGUGAGGAACCUGCCUCAAAGAGGGGGACAACAGUUGGAAACGACUGCUAAUACCGCAUAAGCCCACAGGUCGGCAUCGACCAGAGGGAAAAGGAGUAAUCCGCUUUGAGAUGGCCUCGCGUCCGAUUAGCUAGUUGGUGAGGUAAUGGCCCACCAAGGCGACGAUCGGUAGCCGGACUGAGAGGUUGAACGGCCACAUUGGGACUGAGACACGGCCCAGACUCCUACGGGAGGCAGCAGUGGGGAAUAUUGCACAAUGGGGGAAACCCUGAUGCAGCGACGCCGCGUGGAGGAAGAAGGUCUUCGGAUUGUAAACUCCUGUUGUUGAGGAAGAUAAUG
rnacentral:rRNA from 1 species